UAGGGAAUCUUCCACAAUGGACGAAAGUCCGAUGGAGCAACGCCGCGUGAGUGAAGAAGGGUUUCGGCUCGUAAAACUCUGUUGUUAAAGAAGAACAUAUCUGAGAGUAACUGUUCAGGUAUUGACGGUAUUUAACCAGAAAGCCACGGCUAGCUACGUGCCAG
rnacentral:rRNA from 1 species